CUAUAUCUUUGAAGUAAUUGCGUUUAUUCCUCAACAGGCCUGACGUCCCUUAUCAAGCAUGCAUGUUCGCAAAAAAGUUGGGAUAUUUCAGCGAAAAUGGUCAGGUGUCUAAAAUAACCCUCUACUACUUAAUAAAAGCUUUCAAUUUUCCUUUGUUUUUAAUAUUAUUAAUAUACCCCGCUCAGUUUUCCCUCAUUCGUCACUGUUGAGUGUUAGACAGUUUUAUCCGGCACGAUUCCGGGCUAGUUUAGCACCGAAAGCCUAUACUAAAGAAUAUAUGAUAUAGUAAAGAAUAUAUAUACAACAUCAGAUGAACUAUUCUGCAAAUUAAAGUAAAAAAGGAGUUAAUAUUUGUAACGUGUGUAUUUACGCAAUGAAUUUGCUCUGCGGGCAAAUUAGUUGUAAAUUUAGACAUAGAUUUGCCAUUGAAAUUUCAUAU